rnacentral:rRNA from 1 species
GAUGAACGCUAGCUACAGGCUUAACACAUGCAAGUCGCGGGACCGGCGCACGGGUGAGUAACGCGUAUCCAACCUGCCCUUCACCACGGGAUAACCCGGCGAAAGUCGGACUAAUACAGUAUGGUGACGGAGGGGGAUGCGUCCGAUUAGCUGUACGGCGGGGUAGCGGCCCCCCGUGGCUACGCUCGGUAGGGGUUCUGAGAGGAAUGUCCCCCACACUGGAACAGAGACACGGUCCAGACUCCUACUGGAGGCAGCAGUGAGGAAUAUUGGUCAAUGGGCGUAAGCCGGAACCAGCCAAGUAGCGUGCAGGACGUCGGCCUAUGGGUUGUUAAUUGCUUUUAUGCGGGGAUAGGUACCGCAUGAAUAAGGACCGGCUAAUUCCGUGCCAGCAGCCGCGGUAAUUC